rnacentral:rRNA from 1 species
AGUAUAAGAGGUCCCGCACCUGCCCUGUGACAUAUAUGUUUAACAGCGCCGCAGGUAUAUUUGACACGUGCGAAGGUAGCAGCAAUCACUUCUGUCAUCUUUAAAAUGGGGACACCUGUAUGAAUGGCAUAACGAGGGCUUGACUUGUCUCCUCUUUCAAGUCAAAUGAAAUUGAUCUCCCCGUGCAGAAGCGGGGGUAAACACAUAAGACGAGAAGACCCUAUGGAGCUUUAGACACUAAAGCAGAUCAGCAUUAAUACCCUUAACAAUAGGACGCGAAUCAACUGACCCCUGCCCUAAUGUCUUUGGUUGGGGCGACCGCGGAGAAAUAAAAAACCCCCGCAAGGACCGAAUGUACCACAUUCACAACCAAGAGCGACAGCUCUAAUUAACAGAAUUUCUGACCAAUAAGAUCCGGCAACGCCGAUCAAUGAACCGAGUUACCCUAGGGAUAACAGCGCAAUCUCCUCUUAGAGUCCAUAUCGACGAGGAGGUUUACGACCUCGAUGUUGGAUCAGGACAUCCUAAUGGUGCAGCCGCUAUUAAGGGUUCGUUUGUUCAACGAU